AUCGCCCAGUAAGCAUCCCAGUCUUUAGAUCAGAGGGAAGUAUCUAGAUGGAUAUUCUCACACCAGGCAGGAGUGAGUUUCCACUGGAGGCUCUCCCUUGUUGGCAGCAGAGCACAACUCUGGCUGAUUGAAGCAGAAAAGGAAUUUGUUAAAGGGCCAUUGUGUAGUUCAUGGAUGGAGGCAUGUGGGGUGAGACCAGACUCACCGGCCACCUGGGCAGGAAGAAGACCAGGGCCAAGGGCUGUCAGGACUGGCCCAGAACAACUCCACACCCACGUGGCUGCACCUAUGCGCACGACAGGACCAUGCAUGCCUCCUGCCCCUGAGAUCCGCCCACUGCUGCUUCUGGAAGAGGUGUGGCAUGACGUACACAGGAAGGACAGAGCCACCAGCUUUCCCGGGGCCAGCAGGCUGCUUGGCUUGUGUUUGCUCGGUCGACUGUCUGGAGCUGGAUCUGGAUACUUCUCAAAGGGGAGGAAGGACUGCAGAUGCUGGGUGAGAAGAGCCAAAUGACAGAUGUCCAUCAGGGUAGGAGAAGCUGUGACAGGCUGAGGCCCAGGAGCCAGGUCAGCACGGGGAGGAGUCUGUCAGAAUGCAGCAGCUGGGGCAGGGGUGCCUGGGUUUUGUGGCCAGGGAAUACAGGUUGGUCAAAGCAAGGGGCAGCCAAGUGUCAUGAUGACAUCGCACUAUUCGGUGUCACGAAGUACAGGGAAUCCUGUGUAAUACUGAGGAAUAUUCGUUGAGUGUGGAAGAUGAACCAAGCUGAAAUAUCCGAGAUAGCUGUAUUAGUUCUCUCGAGCUGCUGUAAAAAAUCACCAUGGACCAGGAGGCUUAAUUGACAGAAGUAGAUCCCCGCCCAGUCCUGGGGGGCACUCGUGUGAAAUGAGGGUGUUGGCAGGUUGUGCCCCAGGAGGCUGUGGGGAUGAACCCAGGCAGGUCCUUCUCCCCAUUCUGAUGUCACCCACCAUCCUGAGAGAUUGUCAUCGUUCUAGCAUCUGCCUCCAUCUCCACACUGCCUGUUGCUGGGCUGUGUCUUCAUAGGGUGUCUCUCUCUGGAAAAUUCCACAAUGCUCAGAGCAUUGACCCGGAGCAGAACAGCCAGCUUCUGCUGCCUGUGAGGACAGCAGCUCGUGGCUCUUGCUUGCAUUCCUUGCCCUUGAGUUCGGUGUGUGCCUCUCCAGGAUGGACACAAGCAGAGUGGCCAGCGGCAGCUGUGUGUGUCUGCUGCAGGAAAGCUGAGAUGUUGAUCUACUCCUGAAAGGGCCCCCAGCAUUGGAUUGGGCUGCUUUCCUUACCUUUUCAGCCAGCACGCGGUUCUCCAGGCCGAAGAGCUCCCUUCUUGUCCUUCCUGCUGUCUGUUGUCUGGAGUGCUGUCAAAGCCAAAAGUGUGCUGAUCUGAAUAUGAUGUUCCUGACCCCUGCAGUCUGGUUGGGACCUGCUUUUCUAUAGAUUUUAGUUUGUUUUUCUUUUUUUUUUUUUUGGUACCAGGGAUCGAACUUGGGACCUUGUGCUUACGAGGCAGGCAGCGGAACCACUGAGCUAAAUCCGGGGCCCUCUAUAGAUCCUAGUACAAAGAGAUCUGCAGCAGGGUGCAUGUUGAGGGAGCAGCCAAACUUUCUGCACUGAUGCAGUGUGAUAACAAGUGGGACCAUGACCCAGGCCUGCUCAGGUGGGCAAAGCACAGGCUCCCCACCAGGAAAAGGGAGAGAUGUUAACGCUGGCUCUUAUCAUCACAUCUGGGAAAAGAGGUCCAGGAAAACAAGGCUUCAUCACAUGGACCUUUGAGCUUUACAGUCAGGCUUCCUGAAUGCUGCAGAUGCCCUGGGAAAAAUGGCAGACUUUCAGUUUGGGUCCUGGUGCAGAGGACACAUGUCCUUUACUAUUUUUCUAGGCAGAUAUGUCCUUUGAGGUUUCGGAUGGAGUGGGAGGUGCAAAUGCAGUGUGGCAUGUUGCUUAUGGUAAAGCUAAGUUGGGUUUCCUCCUGGACAGCCGUCCAGGACCCAAUCUGCCUCAUCCCUGGCAGAGCCCUCCUUGUGACGAUGCUGGACCUCCUCCCGAUUGUGGCUCCUGCUGGCAGAGUUGGAAAAGCAGAUGGGGCUCUGACUGCUCAGGAGGAGCCAUGGACGAGGGGUUCGGGCGGCUUACAGCCUGGCUCCACAGGGAGCACAUCCCGACGCUGCCUGCCACCUGGGUAGUGUGUGCCUGGUAAACAUUUGGCUGUCCCAGGAUGACAAUGAAGCAGAUGCUGACCCUCCACACUGUGUGACACAAGCCACUUCCCAUAGGUGGGUGCACAUGAGACUCGGUGGCCCUGGUGGCUUCCUUGCUGGCUCUCAAGAACCAGGUGUCUGGUUGACUUCUAAAAAGCAGGGGCUGGGUCAGAUGGUGGGGGGAAGACAGGGGACCCAGGAGCUGGCUGGGGACACAGGCCAGCAGAUGACUCCAUUUAUGCAAAAGUACACGAGCGCCACUCCCUUGAGACCAGAGCCAGGCAGUGUGUGAGGAAGACACUCUGGCAGCCAGCCUGCACCCUAACUGGAGCCACAGCUGCACGGUGACAACUAAGCCAAGGUAGCCUGGAAGUUGUGAGUCCUUGGCCCAAACCUGGCAUUCACAUGAGCUCUGGGCUCCUCAACCUUUUGUGACAUAG
ensembl:lncRNA